UACGUAGGGGGCAAGCGUUGUCCGGAAUCAUUGGGCGUAAAGCGCGUGUAGGCGGCUCGGUAAGUCCGCUCUGAAAGCCCAAGGCUCAACCUUGGGAUGCGGGUGGAUACUGCCGGGCUCGAGUCCGGAAGAGGCGAGUGGAAUUCCUGGUGUAGCGGUGAAAUGCGCAGAUAUCAGGAGGAACACCGGUGGCGAAGGCGGGUCUCUGGGCCGAUACUGACGCUGAGGAGCGAAAGCGUGGGGAGCGAACAGG
rnacentral:rRNA from 1 species